rnacentral:rRNA from 1 species
GAGUUUGAUCCUGGCUCAGAUUGAACGCUGGCGGCAUGCCUUACACAUGCAAGUCGAACGGCAGCACGGGAGCUUGCUCCUGGUGGCGAGUGGCGAACGGGUGAGUAAUGCAUCGGAACGUAUCCUGGAGUGGGGGAUAACGUAGCGAAAGUUACGCUAAUACCGCAUAUUCUGUGAGCAGGAAAGCGGGGGACCUUCGGGCCUCGCGCUCUUGGAGCGGCCGAUGUCGGAUUAGCUAGUUGGUGAGGUAAAGGCUCACCAAGGCGACGAUCCGUAGCAGGUCUGAGAGGAUGAUCUGCCACACUGGAACUGAGACACGGUCCAGACUCCGUACGGGAGGCAGCAGUGGGGAAUUUUGGACAAGUGGGGGCAACCCUGAUCCAGCCAUGCCGCGUGAGUGAAGAAGGCCUUCGG